GAUGAACGCUGGCGGCGUGCCUAAUACAUGCAAGUCGAGCGAACGGACGAGAAGCUUGCUUUUCUGAUGUUAGCGGCGGACGGGUGAGUAACACGUGGAUAACCUACCUAUAAGACUGGGAUAACUUCGGGAAACCGGAGCUAAUACCGGAUAAUAUUUUGAACCGCAUGGUUCAAAAGUGAGAGACGGUCUUGCUGUCACUUAUAGAUGGAUCCGCGCUGCAUUAGCUAGUUGGUAAGGUAACGGCUUACCAAGGCAACGAUGCAUAGCCGACCUGAGAGGGUGAUCGGCCACACUGGAACUGAGACACGGUCCAGACUCCUACGGGAGGCAGCAGUAGGGAAUCUUCCGCAAUGGGCGAAAGCCUGACGGAGCAACGCCGCGUGAGUGAUGAAGGUCUUCGGAUCGUAAAACUCUGUUAUUAGGGAAGAACAUAUGUGUAAGUAACUGUGCACAUCUUGACGGUACCUAAUCAGAAAGCCACGGUUAACUACGUG
rnacentral:rRNA from 1 species